UACAGAGGUCUCAAGCGUUGUUCGGAUUCAUUGGGCGUAAAGGGUGCGUAGGUGGCGCUGUAAGUCGGGUGUGAAAUUUCGGAGCUUAACUCCGAAACUGCAUUCGAUACUGCGGUGCUUGAGGACUGGAGAGGAGACUGGAAUUCAUGGUGUAGCAGUGAAAUGCGUAGAGAUCAUGAGGAAGACCAGUGGCGAAGGCGGGUCUCUGGACAGUUACUGACACUGAGGCACGAAGGCCAGGGGAGCAAACGGG
rnacentral:rRNA from 1 species